UUCUAAUUGCAAUUACUGAUUUGGUC
rnacentral:piRNA from 1 species